rnacentral:rRNA from 1 species
GACGAACGCUGGCAGCGUGCUUAACACAUGCAAGUCGAACGGAAAGGCCUGCUUUCCCUUGUGGAUUGCGGGUACUCGAGUGGCGAACGGGUGAGUAACACGUGAGUGAUCUGCCCCCAACUUGGGUAUAAGCCUGGGAAACUGGGUCUAAUUCCCGAUAGGACUGCAGGGUGGUGCCUGUGGUGGAAAACGAUUUUCUAGUGGUUGGGGAUGAGCUCGCGGCCUAUCAGCUUGUUGGUGGGGUAAUGGCCUACCAAGGCGGCGACGGGUAGCCGGCCUGAGAGGGUGGACGGCCACAUUGGGACUGAGAUACGGCCCAGACUCCUACGGGAGGCAGCAGUGGGGAAUAUUGCACAAUGGGCGGAAGCCUGAUGCAGCGACGCCGCGUGGGGGAUGACGGCCUUCGGGUUGUAAACUCCUUUCGACCGCGAGGAAGCCACCUGGUUGGAAGGGUGGUGACGGUAGUGGUAGAAGAAGCACCGGCUAACUACGUG